AUGAAGCCUGGCGAGCCGUUGGCGACGGGCCUUGGUGUCGUGGGCGGCUCCGCCCCUGGCCCCGGCGAUCUCGCCGCGGCUGCUGCGUGGGUUCACGUCCGGCGUGGUCCGAGUGGCGUUUUGGUCCCUCCUCCGGAGGUGUCGGGGCGGGGGCCGUGUGGUGGCCGCUUCUGGGCCCUGGCGUCGGACGAGUCCGACGAGGAGGACGGGACCUCGUCGCCGCGGCUGGCUGCUCCGUCGGCGUGUGUGUCCCUCUGUGACUUCGUCCGGGCGGCGGCGGAGUCCGGCGUCGGCCGGGGUGACCACCGGCGUCGUUUUGCGCCGGGGGGAUGUGUCUCGCGUGCCUCGGCGGUGCGGUGCUGGCGUCCCCCGUCUCCACCGGCGGGGUGCCUGGGGGUGGCGUGCGUCUCCUCUCCGUCCCCUGCCCUCGCGGCGGUUGAGGCGGCGGUUGAGGAGUGGCCGCCGCUCCCUCUCGUCCCCUCUUCGGCGGCGCGGGUGGCGGAGACGGCUGAGGCGCUAGGGUUGUCGCCGAGGGGCGCGGAGCCGGUUGUGGGCCUGCUUGCGCACGUUGGGCCUGGGCUGGCCUCAUCUGGCUUGGGGGCCUAUUCGCCAUCUGGGUUGGCUUCCGCUGGGGCUGCGGGUGGCCAGGGGGCUGUCUCGGCUUCCGGGCCUGGCUCGGCUAGGCCUGAUCCCACGCGGCCCUCCCUGGAUGGCGUCCAUAAGCCCGGGUCGCGCCGCUAUAUAUGGCUGCGCAGAGGUGUGCGCGACCCCUCACUAGGGUUUCCUGCCCGUCCCAGUGAGGCGAAGCGUGGCCAGCAUGCCAGGGCGGCGGGUCGUGAUGAUGGGGGCGGUGGUUUCGUGCAAGGCAAAGGUGGAGGCUACGGCCAGGGCUAUGGGGGUAGCUAUGGCCAAGGCUAUGGAUCUGGAUCCCAUGGGUGCGAGGGGGAUUGGGGUCCUCCUCCACCUUGGUGGAGUCAGCAGGAGCGCAAGAAGAAGCAGAAGACCGGAUCGAAGCGGCGUGAACUGGAGCGCAAGUCGAUGGAGCAUCCCCUCUGUGGUGGUGGCCACGGGGACCCGCUGGCUAAGAAGCCGCGUGCGGCGGCUGCCCCGCUUGCGGUGGUGUUACCGGCUGCGCCGCGUGGGUCGGCGGAUGCUCCCAUCCCUGUCGAAGAAGAAGGAGGCGAAUGCUUCAAGUGCGGCCGUACUGGGCAUUUUCAAGCCAAGUGUACCUUUCCUCCCCUCUGCGUGAUCUGUAAGCAGGAAGGACACGCCUCGGCCUUCUGUCCGACGCGGGGUAAGCAUCUUCACCUACAGAUCGUGGGUAGCGCGAUUCCGGGGGAAGGAUUUUUCUGCUUGGACUUUGAAGAUGAAGAGGAGUCAGAGGGAUAUGAUCUCCAGGCUGCAAAUGGGGCCAUUCUGUCGGCGGAGCCAGGGAGGCUGUCGAUGCGUGUGCUCAAGCAGGAGCUGAAGCACAUGUUUGCGGGAGACUGGGACUGGCAGAUUUCUCAAGUGGGGGAUGACGACUUUGCGGUUAUCUUCCCUUCUGCGGAUCUGUUGCACAUGGCCAAGUCGAGUGGGAAACUGUUUCUUUCUAUCAAUGAUAUUAUGGUGCGGGUUCGUGAUCCUGUCCAGGAGACCAUUUUGCCCCUCUCCAUGCCGGAGGUGUGGCUACGCCUCCACGGUAUCCCCAAGAAGCACCGGCGUGUUGAUCGCCUGAUGGAAGGAAUGAAGAUGCUGGGCAGGCCCAUUGUGGUGGACGAGCUCUCUCUCAUCCGGAUGGGACCGGUGAGAAUGAAGUUUGGUUGCAAAGCCCCAGACAAGAUGAAUGGAUACGUGCAAGUGUGGUUCAACCAUGAGGGUUUUGACAUCAAGGUGGAGGUGGAAACUCUCCGGAAGCGUUCGGGCGAGGGUUCGGUGGUGUCUGGGCCUGACAAGGCCCCCCCUCGCCCCAGCGACAAGCAAGGCCAGCCGGGUUUGGGGACCGGGAGUGCGCCGGGGUUGCUGCAGGGUUCGACCGUGACUCAGGGAGGGCCUGUCACCGCAGCUGGCAGCAACCAGCAAGAUGUGGAGAUGGCUUGUCGUGAUGAGGAGAAUGAGGACAGCAUGCCGGACACGUCGAUUGAUACGGAGACUUGGGACAAGUUGGGGCUUUCUUCCCUGGCGCUAGAGGAGGACAGAGAUGUGGUGGCGCUGGGCGCUCUUGCGACGGCGGACACGGCUGGGAGCAGCCCGCCUCCUGCGAUUACUUUGCUGGGGGCUUUUGACCAGUCUGAUCUGAAGGAGCGGGCUGGGGCUGGUACCAUGCUUCUGGGUGCCCCGACAUCCCCCAGUCUGCUGGGCUCCGACACGGGUGUGGUGCUCAACGAACCAUCCACUCACACCCCGCUGUCUAGCCGCCGCAGUGCGGGGGGCUCAGGGCGCGCUCCCAAGAAGACGGCGGGUCGCAAGCCCUCGGCCAACGCUGCGGAAAGACUUCAGGAAAGCAGCACAAAACGCCAUCAACACCGGUCUCGACGGCGUGGAGACCCACGGCGGCAAUGGGUACCUCGUCGAGCAGUUCCUCAAGGACAGUGCCAACGACUGGGACGACGGCUAAGCCCGGAGAACCGGUGCCGCUUUGCGCUGGGGGGGGUGGACGCCGUCGCCAAGGAGGUGGGCGCCCACCGCGUGGGCAUCCGCCUCUCGCUCUUCAUGGACUACAUGGACUGCCACGACUCCGACCCACACGCGCUUGGCCUCCAAAUGGCCACGAAGCUCAGCGACCACGACAUCCUCUACCUCCACAUGAUCGAGCCCCGGAUGGCCCUCGUCGACGGCCGGUGGGUGGUCCCGCACCGGCUGCUGCCCUACAGGGAGGCCUUCAAGGGCACCUUUAUCGCGAAUGGAGGGUACGACCGGGAGGAGGGGGACAAGGCGGUAUCGUCGGGGUAUGCCGACCUCGUCUCGUUUGGGCGGCUCUGCCUGGCGAACCCAGACCUACCGAAGAGGCUAGAGCUCUACGCGCCACUUAACAAGUACAAUAGGUUGACAUUCUACAUCUCCGCCCGUCGUCGGCUACACCGACUACCCGUUUCUUCCUUUAUGUGUCGUUGA
rnacentral:rRNA from 1 species